AAGCUCGAAGAUGAGAAACUCAUCUCCUACAUCUUACCGGGCUAGAUCGGGAGUAUGAUCUAGCAGUGAUGGCUGUGGCGACGCGGGUUGAGCCGAUCACCGUGAAUGAGCUCUAUGCGCAGCUUGUCUCCUUUGAGA
rnacentral:snoRNA from 1 species